rnacentral:rRNA from 2 species
UUAAGCGACUAAGCGUACACGGUGGAUGCCCUGGCAGUCAGAGGCGAUGAAGGGCGUGCUAAUCUGCGAUAAGCGCCGGUAAGGUGAUAUGAACCGUUAUAACCGGCGAUACCCGAAUGGGGAAACCCAGUGUGAUUCGUCACACUAUCAUUAACUGAAUCCAUAGGUUAAUGAGGCGAACCGGGGGAACUGAAACAUCUAAGUACCCCGAGGAAAAGAAAUCAACCGAGAUUCCCCCAGUAGCGGCGAGCGAACGGGGAGGAGCCCAGAGCCUGAAUCAGCAUGUGUGUUAGUGGAAGCGUCUGGAAAGGCGCGCGAUACAGGGUGACAGCCCCGUACACAAAAGCGCAUGUGCUGUGAGCUCGAUGAGUAGGGCGGGACACGUGGUAUCCUGUCUGAAUAUGGGGGGACCAUCCUCCAAGGCUAAAUACUCCUGACUGACCGAUAGUGAACCAGUACCGUGAGGGAAAGGCGAAAAGAACCCCGGCGAGGGGAGUGAAAAAGAACCUGAAACCGUGUACGUACAAGCAGUGGGAGCACAGGUUUACCUGUGUGACUGCGUACCUUUUGUAUAAUGGGUCAGCGACUUAUAUUCUGUAGCAAGGUUAACCGUAUAGGGGAGCCGGAGGGAAACCGAGUCUUAAUUGGGCGUUAAGUUGCAGGGUAUAGACCCGAAACCCGGUGAUCUAGCCAUGGGCAGGUUGAAGGUUGGGUAACACUAACUGGAGGACCGAACCGACUAAUGUUGAAAAAUUAGCGGAUGACCUGUGGCUGGGGGUGAAAGGCCAAUCAAACCGGGAGAUAGCUGGUUCUCCCCGAAAGCUAUUUAGGUAGCGCCUCGUGAAUUCAUCUCCGGGGGUAGAGCACUGUUUCGGCUAGGGGGCCAUCCCGGCUUACCAACCCGAUGCAAACUGCGAAUACCGGAGAAUGUUAUCACGGGAGACACACGGCGGGUGCUAACGUCCGUCGUGAAGAGGGAAACAACCCAGACCGCCAGCUAAGGUCCCAAAGUCAUGGUUAAGUGGGAAACGAUGUGGGAAGGCCCAGACAGCCAGGAUGUUGGCUUAGAAGCAGCCAUCAUUUAAAGAAAGCGUAAUAGCUCACUGGUCGAGUCGGCCUGCGCGGAAGAUGUAACGGGGCUAAACCAUGCACCGAAGCUGCGGCAGCGAACGUAUCACCCAAGACAACUUUACGGAGUUGACGAUUGACGGAGCGAAGCGACGUCAAAGCGUUCAUUAAAGUCGAGUUGGCUUAGGGAUACGUUCGUUGGGUAGGGGAGCGUUCUGUAAGCCUGUGAAGGUGUGUCGUGAGGCAUGCUGGAGGUAUCAGAAGUGCGAAUGCUGACAUAAGUAACGAUAAAGCGGGUGAAAAGCCCGCUCGCCGGAAGACCAAGGGUUCCUGUCCAACGUUAAUCGGGGCAGGGUGAGUCGACCCCUAAGGCGAGGCCGAAAGGCGUAGUCGAUGGGAAACGGGUUAAUAUUCCCGUACUUGGUGUUACUGCGAAGGGGGGACGGAGAAGGCUAUGUUGGCCGGGCGACGGUUGUCCCGGUUUAAGCGUGUAGGUGUGUGUUCCAGGUAAAUCCGGUUCACUUUAACACUGAGGCGUGACGACGAGGCACUACGGUGCUGAAGCAACAAAUGCCCUGCUUCCAGGAAAAGCCUCUAAGCAUCAGGUAACAUCAAAUCGUACCCCAAACCGACACAGGUGGUCAGGUAGAGAAUACCAAGGCGCUUGAGAGAACUCGGGUGAAGGAACUAGGCAAAAUGGUGCCGUAACUUCGGGAGAAGGCACGCUGACACGUAGGUGAAGUGAUUUACUCAUGGAGCUGAAGUCAGUCGAAGAUACCAGCUGGCUGCAACUGUUUAUUAAAAACACAGCACUGUGCAAACACGAAAGUGGACGUAUACGGUGUGACGCCUGCCCGGUGCCGGAAGGUUAAUUGAUGGGGUCAGCGUAAGCGAAGCUCCUGAUCGAAGCCCCGGUAAACGGCGGCCGUAACUAUAACGGUCCUAAGGUAGCGAAAUUCCUUGUCGGGUAAGUUCCGACCUGCACGAAUGGCGUAAUGAUGGCCAGGCUGUCUCCACCCGAGACUCAGUGAAAUUGAACUCGCUGUGAAGAUGCAGUGUACCCGCGGCAAGACGGAAAGACCCCGUGAACCUUUACUAUAGCUUGACACUGAACAUUGAGCCUUGAUGUGUAGGAUAGGUGGGAGGCUUUGAAGUGUGGACGCCAGUCUGCAUGGAGCCGACCUUGAAAUACCACCCUUUAAUGUUUGAUGUUCUAACGUGGACCCGUAAUCCGGGUUGCGGACAGUGUCUGGUGGGUAGUUUGACUGGGGCGGUCUCCUCCUAAAGAGUAACGGAGGAGCACGAAGGUUGGCUAAUCCUGGUCGGACAUCAGGAGGUUAGUGCAAUGGCAUAAGCCAGCUUGACUGCGAGCGUGACGGCGCGAGCAGGUGCGAAAGCAGGUCAUAGUGAUCCGGUGGUUCUGAAUGGAAGGGCCAUCGCUCAACGGAUAAAAGGUACUCCGGGGAUAACAGGCUGAUACCGCCCAAGAGUUCAUAUCGACGGCGGUGUUUGGCACCUCGAUGUCGGCUCAUCACAUCCUGGGGCUGAAGUAGGUCCCAAGGGUAUGGCUGUUCGCCAUUUAAAGUGGUACGCGAGCUGGGUUUAGAACGUCGUGAGACAGUUCGGUCCCUAUCUGCCGUGGGCGCUGGAGAACUGAGGGGGGCUGCUCCUAGUACGAGAGGACCGGAGUGGACGCAUCACUGGUGUUCGGGUUGUCAUGCCAAUGGCACUGCCCGGUAGCUAAAUGCGGAAGAGAUAAGUGCUGAAAGCAUCUAAGCACGAAACUUGCCCCGAGAUGAGUUCUCCCUGAGACUUAGAGUCUCCUGAAGGAACGUUGAAGACGACGACGUUGAUAGGCCGGGUGUGUAAGCGCAGCGAUGCGUUGAGCUAACCGGUACUAAUGAACCGUGAGGCUUAACCU